UAGGGAAUAUUGCACAAUGGAGGAAGCUCUGAUGCAGCGACGCCGCGUGAGUGAUGAAGGACUUCGGUUCGUAAAGCUCUGUUGCAGAGGAAUAAAGAAAUGAAGGUACUCUGCGAGGAAGGGUCGGCUAACUUCGUGCCAGCAGCCGCGGUAAGACGAGGGACCCUAGCGUUGUUCGGAAUCAUUGGGCGUAAAGCGGGAGUAGGUGGCUUUGUAAGUCAGGUGUGAAAGCCCGGGGCUUAACCCCGGAAGUGCAUUUGAUACUGCGAAGCUUGAGUGCUGGAGAGGCUACUGGAAUUCCUGGUGUAGUGGUGAAAUACGUAGAUAUCAGGAGGAAUACCGGAGGCGAAGGCGGGUAGCUGGUCAGACACUGACACUCAACCCCGAAAGCGUGGGGAUCAAACA
rnacentral:rRNA from 1 species